AAUUUGAUAUAAAUGAAGUAUGGUCCAAAGUAAAACAAUUAACUAAUAAUGGCAUAUCACUUGACAUGCAAAUUCUAAGUCAUUUCCGACAAGAGUUAGGAAGGUGAGAGCGUUUUUGUUCUAUGAUCCUAUUAUGUAAUAUUGUCCAUGCAUUACAUGCGCUACAAAUGAUGUCAUCUUAUAUGCACAAUCCAAUAAAUGAGAGAAAUCAAGAAAGGGAGCGUAGGCGUCUCGAUCUAAUGAAAGAAUUAGUACAAACUGAAAGAUGUCGGGG
rnacentral:lncRNA from 1 species